ACCACCAAACUCAAAAAUAUAAGACUGCCUAUGAUCUGUAAACCACUCCAGCACCGCUCCCAGGAAGCGAGGCACUGCAAAUCCAGGGGAGCACAAUUAAAAAACAAAACCAAAAAAAAAAAAAGCGAAAAAAAAAAAAGCCCUCUUGUGUCUCACUCUUUUUUUUUUUUUUUCUCUCUCUCUCUCUCUCUCUCCUUUGGCCAACUAUACGCUCCUGGGUUCAAAACGGACCAGGGUUAUGAUAAAAAAAAAAAUAGAGGAGGACGGCAUGGAGCAGAGGACCUGCAACUGUCAGAGCACGGGCUGGGCAGGCUGUGGCUGGGCGACCCGCUGCCUGUGUGUGGCUCACUGUAAAUCCACCAUCUUCAGGCUGGCAAGUUGGCUUUUGGUUGGGUAUUUUUUUUUUUUUUUGGCGGGGAGGGGGGGGUGCCGUGCUUGCGAUCCCUGCCUUGGUACCUAAGGAGGAAGCGGAGGAGGAGGAGGGUGUGUGACUGAAUGAGAGCUAAAGCCUCCUCGGGACGGCGCCGCGGUGAAGCAGGCUGAACCCGAUGGCUGCGCCUCCUCUCCCGGCUGGAGCCAGUGCCCCAAGCAGCCGCGGAGAGAGCCCCCCGGCCGCCCCACUCGCAGCAUUAGAGUCCCUUGUUCAUCUACAACAGGAUGGAUACUGUGUUUAUAGAGUUCAUUCUUGACCUUACCUGAGUGAACUGUCUGUGUGUACUGCCCACCACCUUUUUAACCACUAGGACCACAGAGCCUAAUGACGACAACUAUACUGCUCUUACUCAUAGGACCAGAUCUGACUCCCAUGGACUUCAACAGCCAAGAUUAUUUCUCUAGGAAAAUAUGAUGCAACCAAGCAACAUGUAUGGAGCAGUCCCAUAUUACAGAACAGCAAAGAUGAACACAUCCAACUUUAUUAUUUCUUUUUUAAAAAUGACUCAUAACUAUUUGAUGUAAUGUGGCUCAUGUAAAUGUAUAAUGACCUGAAUAAAAAUAGUGAUGUGCAAUGUCCA